UUGACGGGGCCCGCACAAGCCGGUGGAGCAUGUGGUUAAUUCGACGCAACGCGAAGAACCUUACUGGGCUUGACAUCCCGAUCGCACUUAUGGAAACAUAGGGUCAGUUCGGCUGGAUCGGUGACAGGUGCUGCAUGGCUGUCGUCAGCUCGUGUCGUGAGAUGUUGGGUUAAGUCCCGCAACGAGCGCAACCCUUGUCCUUAGUUGCCAGCAUUCAGUUGGGCACUCUAAGGAGACUGCCGGUGUCAAACCGGAGGAAGGUGGGGAUGACGUCAAGUCCUCAUGGCCCUUAUGUCCAGGGCUACACACGUGCUACAAUGGCCGGUACAAAGGGGCGCAAGACCGCGAGGUGGAGCAAAUCCCAAAAAACCGGUCUCAGUUCGGAUUGGAGUCUGCAACUCGACUCCAUGAAGUUGGAAUCGCUAGUAAUCGCGUAUCAGCAUGACCGCGGUCGAAUACGUUCCCGGGCCUU
rnacentral:rRNA from 1 species